AUUUCGAACCGCAUGGUUCGAUAGUGAAAGAUGGUUUUGCUAUCACUUAUAGAUGGAUCCGCGCUGCAUUAGCUAGUUGGUAAGGUAACGGCUUACCAAGGCAACGAUGCAUAGCCGACCUGAGAGGGUGAUCGGCCACACUGGAACUGAGACACGGUCCAGACUCCUACGGGAGGCAGCAGUAGGGAAUCUUCCGCAAUGGGCGAAAGCCUGACGGAGCAACGCCGCGUGAGUGAUGAAGGUCUUCGGAUCGUAAAACUCUGUUAUUAGGGAAGAACAUACGUGUAAGUAACUAUGCACGUCUUGACGGUACCUAAUCAGAAAGCCACGGCUAACUACGUGCCAGCAGCCGCGGUAAUACGUAGGUGGCAAGCGUUAUCCGGAAUUAUUGGGCGUAAAGCGCGCGUAGGCGGUUUUUUAAGUCUGAUGUGAAAGCCCACGGCUCAACCGUGGAGGGUCAUUGGAAACUGGAAAACUUGAGUGCAGAAGAGGAAAGUGGAAUUCCAUGUGUAGCGGUGAAAUGCGCAGAGAUAUGGAGGAACACCAGUGGCGAAGGCGACUUUCUGGUCUGUAACUGANGCUGAUGUGCGAAAGCGUGGGGAUCAAACAGGAUUAGAUACCCUGGUAGUCCACGCCGUAAACGAUGAGUGCUAAGUGUUAGGGGGUUUCCGCCCCUUAGUGCUGCAGCUAACGCAUUAAGCACUCCGCCUGGGGAGUACGACCGCAAGGUUGAAACUC
rnacentral:rRNA from 1 species